AUUGAACGCUGGCGGCAGGCCUAACACAUGCAAGUCGAGCGGAUGAAGGGAGCUUUCUCCUGGAUUCAGCGGCGGACGGGCGGGUAAUGCACACGAAUCUGCCUGGUAGUUGGGGAUAAGAUCCGGAAACGGGCGCUAAUACCGUAUACGUUCUGAGGUAGAAAGGCGGGGAUCUUCGGACCUCACGCGUUCAGAUGACCCUAGGUCGGAUUAGCUAGUUGGUGGGGUAACGGCUUACCAAGGCGACGAUCCGUAACUGGUCUGAGAGGAUGACCGGCCACACUGGAACUGAGACACGGUCCAGACUCCUACGGGAGGCAGCAGUAGGGAAUCUUCGGCAAUGGGCGAAAGCCUGAUCCAGCCAUGCCGCGUGUGUGAAGAAGGUCUUCGGAUUGUAAAGCACUUUUAGUUGGGAAGAAGGGCAGUAAAUUAAUACCUUGCUGUCUUGACGUUACCUACAGAAAAAGCCACGGCUAACUUCGUG
rnacentral:rRNA from 1 species